UGUUAUUUUGCUUGUGAUGAAGAGUUGAUAUUAUAUAAGAUAUGAAUUUUACUAUUUCCAAUAAUCUUUCAGUGAAGGUAAAUAAUUUUCUCAUGCUUUUUUAAAUAAUUUUAUCUAUUCAUAAUGCAUACAGAGCAUUUUAUAAAAUUUAUUAAGUUUUGCUCACAUAAUCAUUUCUGAUACAACAGGUUUCUUUCUCUCAACAACCAGAAAUUGUUAUUGAUACUACAUCAUCUAUAGAAGAUAUAAAAAUGUAUAUGGAAACUCUGCAAGCCACUAUUUUAUGUAAAGGAACUGACAUACACUAUAGGUGAAAAUUGAAAAUAAACUUAAAGAUUCACCUAAAUCGAGGCUCCAUCUAGAACUGUGACACCUGAAGUAAAAACAAGCAUCAAGUACAUCUUUUAGUAGUAGUGUGAAAAGAAAGAAAGUAUCUAUCUACAUUACCUUUGAAAAAUUCCAAAUCAUCUUGUAAGUCAAUAGAUAUGUUUUUUAGGUAGCAGAUUUUUUUUGUAAUUAUCUAACUGUAUGCAAAUGAACUUGUAAAUAAUGUAAAUACAUUUAUAAAGCAAUUUUAUGAAAUAAAAAAAAUAUGAUAUUUUAA
rnacentral:misc_RNA from 1 species